GGGGGGGGGGGGGAAAUUGCCCCGGGCCCCGAGGCUCUGGGGCCCCCUAGAAAUAUAAUGUUAGAAAUUUAAUGGGCCCCAGUAAUUUUUUCGGGCGAAAUAUUUCUGUUUUCGGGCCAAAAAUAUUUGUGUUUUGGGGGCAAUGAACCGAAAUUUGGUAUGGAAAAUUGCGGAAAGUCCAACGAAAGCAAUUAUAACGCACCUAAAAAGAAUUUAUUGUCCGAAAAUUUUUUUUCCGGAAAAUUUUUUUACAAUAGGGGCCCCUAAAAUUUUUUUUUGCCCCGGGCCCCCGCCAAGCUCUCGGUGGCCCUGGAUGCAUCUGCUGGUUUUGACGCCAGCGGAACAAGAUCAUGAACCCACUUUGUGGCGCAUUGGGAUUGUAAUGUAACGCUACACGACUUUUUGUUUCUAUGCGGUCGGAAAGAUAGUGCGAAAUA